AAUGCUGAUGCCAGGACCUUGUCCUGCCAGGAAGCCUCUGAUUAGGGCUGUGAACCAACUUCCUUUUCACAUCUGCAAGGACACUUGGAGGCAACUGCCCAAGGCCACUCUGAGGAGGGUUGAAUGUUCUUUAUUAAAAGGACUGAGGAUCAUGUGUGUUGGUGGGCCUUGGACUCUGCUCUAAGGAAGCCUCUGAUUAGGGCCCUGAACCAAGUUCCUUUUCGCAUCUGCAGACACAUGGAGGCAACCACUCAAGGCCACUCUGAGAAGGGUUGAACGUGCUUUAAAUUAAAAGGACUGAGGAUCAUGUGUGUUGGUGUGUCUUGGACUCUGCUCUAAGACUCAUGGAGGCAACCACUCAAGGUCACUCUGAGAAGGGUUGAACGUGCUUUAUUAAAAGGACUGAGGAUCAUGUGUGUUGGUGUGUCCCGGAGUCUGCUCUAAGGCCCUGUGGCUGCCUGGUGCCCUGGGAAUGGUCCGGUCAUGGGCCUCAGCCCAGGAUGAGCAGCCAACAAUGCAAUCCCACGAAGAGUGUGCGGAAGGGAGAGGUUACUUCUCAAGAUGGAGCUGCCAAAUAGGGACACUUUGGAGAGUCUGGCCUGAGAACUUUUAGUUUCAAGAAUGUAUUGCUUUGGAAAAGACAGAAUAAAAGUCCAAGCACUGCCACUUA
rnacentral:lncRNA from 1 species